GCCUGGGUGGCUCAGUGGGUUAAAGCCUCUGCCUUCAGCUCAGAUCAUGAUCCCAGGGUUCUGGGAUCGAAUCCCACAUCAGGCU
rnacentral:tRNA from 1 species